GGUUAAGCGACUAAGCGUACACGGUGGAUGCCCUGGCAGUCAGAGGCGAUGAAGGACGUGCUAAUCUGCGAUAAGCGUCGGUAAGGUGAUAUGAACCGUUAUAACCGGCGAUUUCCGAAUGGGGAAACCCAGUGUGAUUCGUCACACUAUCAUUAACUGAAUCCAUAGGUUAAUGAGGCGAACCGGGGGAACUGAAACAUCUAAGUACCCCGAGGAAAAGAAAUCAACCGAGAUUCCCCCAGUAGCGGCGAGCGAACGGGGAGCAGCCCAGAGCCUGAAUCAGUGUGUGUGUUAGUGGAAGCGUCUGGAAAGGCGCGCGAUACAGGGUGACAGCCCCGUACACAAAAAUGCACAUACUGUGAGCUCGAUGAGUAGGGCGGGACACGUGGUAUCCUGUCUGAAUAUGGGGGGACCAUCCUCCAAGGCUAAAUACUCCUGACUGACCGAUAGUGAACCAGUACCGUGAGGGAAAGGCGAAAAGAACCCCGGCGAGGGGAGUGAAAAAGAACCUGAAACCGUGUACGUACAAGCAGUGGGAGCACAGAGCAAUCUGUGUGACUGCGUACCUUUUGUAUAAUGGGUCAGCGACUUAUAUUCUGUAGCAAGGUUAACCGAAUAGGGGAGCCGAAGGGAAACCGAGUCUUAACUGGGCGUUAAGUUGCAGGGUAUAGACCCGAAACCCGGUGAUCUAGCCAUGGGCAGGUUGAAGGUUGGGUAACACUAACUGGAGGACCGAACCGACUAAUGUUGAAAAAUUAGCGGAUGACUUGUGGCUGGGGGUGAAAGGCCAAUCAAACCGGGAGAUAGCUGGUUCUCCCCGAAAGCUAUUUAGGUAGCGCCUCGUGAAUUCAUCUCCGGGGGUAGAGCACUGUUUCGGCAAGGGGGUCAUCCCGACUUACCAACCCGAUGCAAACUGCGAAUACCGGAGAAUGUUAUCACGGGAGACACACGGCGGGUGCUAACGUCCGUCGUGAAGAGGGAAACAACCCAGACCGCCAGCUAAGGUCCCAAAGUCAUGGUUAAGUGGGAAACGAUGUGGGAAGGCCCAGACAGCCAGGAUGUUGGCUUAGAAGCAGCCAUCAUUUAAAGAAAGCGUAAUAGCUCACUGGUCGAGUCGGCCUGCGCGGAAGAUGUAACGGGGCUAAACCAUGCACCGAAGCUGCGGCAGCGACACUAUGUGUUGUUGGGUAGGGGAGCGUUCUGUAAGCCUGUGAAGGUGUACUGUGAGGUAUGCUGGAGGUAUCAGAAGUGCGAAUGCUGACAUAAGUAACGAUAAAGCGGGUGAAAAGCCCGCUCGCCGGAAGACCAAGGGUUCCUGUCCAACGUUAAUCGGGGCAGGGUGAGUCGACCCCUAAGGCGAGGCCGAAAGGCGUAGUCGAUGGGAAACAGGUUAAUAUUCCUGUACUUGGUGUUACUGCGAAGGGGGGACGGAGAAGGCUAUGUUGGCCGGGCGACGGUUGUCCCGGUUUAAGCGUGUAGGCUGGUUUUCCAGGCAAAUCCGGAAAAUCAAGGCUGAGGCGUGAUGACGAGGCACUACGGUGCUGAAGCAACAAAUGCCCUGCUUCCAGGAAAAGCCUCUAAGCAUCAGGUAACAUCAAAUCGUACCCCAAACCGACACAGGUGGUCAGGUAGAGAAUACCAAGGCGCUUGAGAGAACUCGGGUGAAGGAACUAGGCAAAAUGGUGCCGUAACUUCGGGAGAAGGCACGCUGAUAUGUAGGUGAAGUCCCUCGCGGAUGGAGCUGAAAUCAGUCGAAGAUACCAGCUGGCUGCAACUGUUUAUUAAAAACACAGCACUGUGCAAACACGAAAGUGGACGUAUACGGUGUGACGCCUGCCCGGUGCCGGAAGGUUAAUUGAUGGGGUCAGCGCAAGCGAAGCUCUUGAUCGAAGCCCCGGUAAACGGCGGCCGUAACUAUAACGGUCCUAAGGUAGCGAAAUUCCUUGUCGGGUAAGUUCCGACCUGCACGAAUGGCGUAAUGAUGGCCAGGCUGUCUCCACCCGAGACUCAGUGAAAUUGAACUCGCUGUGAAGAUGCAGUGUACCCGCGGCAAGACGGAAAGACCCCGUGAACCUUUACUAUAGCUUGACACUGAACAUUGAGCCUUGAUGUGUAGGAUAGGUGGGAGGCUUUGAAGUGUGGACGCCAGUCUGCAUGGAGCCGACCUUGAAAUACCACCCUUUAAUGUUUGAUGUUCUAACGUUGACCCGUGAUCCGGGUUGCGGACAGUGUCUGGUGGGUAGUUUGACUGGGGCGGUCUCCUCCUAAAGAGUAACGGAGGAGCACGAAGGUUGGCUAAUCCUGGUCGGACAUCAGGAGGUUAGUGCAAUGGCAUAAGCCAGCUUGACUGCGAGCGUGACGGCGCGAGCAGGUGCGAAAGCAGGUCAUAGUGAUCCGGUGGUUCUGAAUGGAAGGGCCAUCGCUCAACGGAUAAAAGGUACUCCGGGGAUAACAGGCUGAUACCGCCCAAGAGUUCAUAUCGACGGCGGUGUUUGGCACCUCGAUGUCGGCUCAUCACAUCCUGGGGCUGAAGUAGGUCCCAAGGGUAUGGCUGUUCGCCAUUUAAAGUGGUACGCGAGCUGGGUUUAGAACGUCGUGAGACAGUUCGGUCCCUAUCUGCCGUGGGCGCUGGAGAACUGAGGGGGGCUGCUCCUAGUACGAGAGGACCGGAGUGGACGCAUCACUGGUGUUCGGGUUGUCAUGCCAAUGGCACUGCCCGGUAGCUAAAUGCGGAAGAGAUAAGUGCUGAAAGCAUCUAAGCACGAAACUUGCCCCGAGAUGAGUUCUCCCUGACUCCUUGAGAGUCCUGAAGGAACGUUGAAGACGACGACGUUGAUAGGCCGGGUGUGUAAGCGCAGCGAUGCGUUGAGCUAACCGGUACUAAUGAACCGUGAGGCUUAACCUU
rnacentral:rRNA from 1 species